GUUUCGUCGAAGAAAAAUUCUUUUUAAGAAGCGAAGCGCUGUCUGAGUUCGGAAUCACCACCUUUUCAGGUAGUGGCGCUUGAGCAUAUAUAUGAUGUUUGGACGAGGGAUUACGGAUAUAGGCCUGUAGAUAUGAAAUAAUGUAGUAAGGCUUGUAUUGUACUGUUUAUGCUUUUGAUCUGUACGAACAUGACAUCCCGAGUCUUUUAAUGAAAUACAUUUCUAUGGAAA